rnacentral:rRNA from 1 species
UACCAGCACCCCGAGUGGUCGGGACGAUUAUUGGGCCUAAAGCAUCCGUAGCCGGUCCUACAAGUCUUCCGUUAAAUCCACCUGCUCAACAGAUGGGCUGCGGAAGAUACUAUAGGGCUAGGAGGCGGGAGAGGCAAGCGGUACUCAGUGGGUAGGGGUAAAAUCCGUUGAUCCAUUGAAGACCACCAGUGGCGAAGGCGGCUUGCCAGAAUGCGCUCGACGGUGAGGGAUGAAGCUGGGGAGCAACGG